rnacentral:rRNA from 1 species
AUGAGAGUUUGAUCCUGGCUCAGAGCGAACGCUGGCGGCGUGCUUAACACAUGCAAGUCGAGUGCGCAGUUUGCUGUAGCAAUACAGCAGGCCGGCGCACGGCGCACGGGUGCGUAACACGUGGGCAACCUGCCCUCCAAAGGGGGAUAACCCGUCGAAAGGCGGGCUAAUACCGCAUGACAUUCCGGUGGCCUCGGCCGCCGGAAUCAAAGCUCGUAAGGGCGUUGGAGGAGGGGCCCGCGGCCGAUUAGCUUGUUGGCGAGGUAACGGCUCACCAAGGCUUUGAUCGGUAGCCGGUCUGAGAGGAUGGCCGGCCACACUGGAACUGAGACACGGUCCAGACUCCUACGGGAGGCAGCA